rnacentral:lncRNA from 1 species
UCCGUUAGCUGAAACAAUGAAACACUGACGACAAACACAAAUCUCUAUUGAUGCAAAUUGUCACCCGCCAUUCCUUAAAACUUUUAAAGACCAAAUUUUUGGCGGAUGGCGAGCUCUUACGGCCUUUCAAUCGUAGACCUAAAUCUUUAGGCGCCUUAUGUGCUCUUUGGCAAAGAAAAAGUUCCAAAAACUUGUCUAUAUCCAAUAAGUGUUUGCUUUGUAUUUAUUUGGUCUUCUAGUAGUGUUUUUCUUUCCUUGAUUUUUUCCCAUCUUCAAAACUGUCAACACAUAAAAUAAACUAAUAACUUUGUUGGUUAACUUACAUUUUCAAUACAGGAAAAAGAAUGCCUGGUCACACUUUGGGAUAUCAAGGUCAAUGGCGACGAGGUCAUACUUUGGGAUAUAACUACUAUUGCGAUGAGGUCUGAUAGUAUCUUUAGAUUUAAAACUGCAUAAUUAAUUCCUGCAUCUUGGGAAUCGCCCAUUCCGCUCUCACACAAGUUUUCGGUAAUGUAUCCAAUAACUUUUGUCCACCCAUAAACUAUAAAAAUUUACCUUGAAAAAGUCUGUAGCUAGUUUUCCAAAACCUCUUAAGUAGUUGUUUCCCGAUACCAUAGUUCUGAUGUUAUUUUUUUGACAUAAAUCUGACCGUCCCAAAGAAAGUCGAAGAGAAAUAUUGUCGAAAGGAUAUUUAUUUGCUUUUAUCGUUCGGAUAAAAGAUAGAAAAUCAAC